GAUGAAGAACGUAGCGAAAUGCGAUAAGUAAUGUGAAUUGCAGAAUUCAGUGAAUCAUCGAAUCUUUGAACGCACCUUGCGCUCCUUGGUAUUCCGAGGAGCAUGCCUGUUUGAGUGUCAUUAAAUUCUCAACCUUACCAGUUUUGUAUGAAAUUGAUUAAGGCUUGGAUGUGGAGGUUGCAGGCUUCUCAGAAGUCAGCUCCUCUUAAAUGUAUUAGUGGAGACUUGUAAUCGUCGCCUUGGUGUGAUAAUUAUCUGCGCCUUGGUGUAUGGUGACAUAUAAAUGUCUUUGCUUUCUAACUGUCCACUCAGUUGGACUACCUUCGGGUAUUAAUGACUUUUUGACCUCAAAUCAGGUAGGACUACCCGCUGAACUUAAGCAUAUCAAUAAGCGGAGGA
rnacentral:misc_RNA from 1 species